rnacentral:rRNA from 1 species
AUUGAACGCUGGCGGCAUGCUUUACACAUGCAAGUCGAACGGUAACAGGCCGCAAGGUGCUGACGAGUGGCGAACGGGUGAGUAAUGCAUCGGAACGUGCCCAGUCGUGGGGGAUAACGCAGCGAAAGCUGCGCUAAUACCGCAUACGAUCUAUGGAUGAAAGCGGGGGACCGUAAGGCCUCGCGCGAUUGGAGCGGCCGAUGUCAGAUUAGGUAGUUGGUGGGGUAAAGGCUCACCAAGCCAACGAUCUGUAGCUGGUCUGAGGGGACGACCAGCCACACUGGGACUGAGAGACGGCCCAGACUCCUACGGGAGGCAGCAGUGGGGAAUUUUGGACAAUGGGCGCAAGCCUGAUCCAGCAAUGCCGCGUGCAGGAAGAAGGCCUUCGGGUUGUAAACUGCUUUUGUACGGAACGAAACGGCUCUCUCUAAUACAGGGGGUUAAUGACGGUACCGUAAGAAUAAGCACCGGCUAACUACGUGCCAGCCGCCGCUGUAAAAC